rnacentral:rRNA from 1 species
CCUACGGGGGGCAGCAGUGAGGAAUAUUGGUCAAUGGACGAGAGUCUGAACCAGCCAAGUAGCGUGAAGGAUGACUGUCCUAUGGGUUGUAAACCUCUUUUAUCUGGGAAUAAAAUGUUCCACGUGUGGGAUUCUGUAUGUACCAUAAGAAUAAGCAUCGGCUAACUCCGUGCCAGCAGCCGCGGUAAUACGGAGGAUCCGAGCGUUAUCCGGAUUUAUUGGGUUUAAAGGGUGCGUAGGUGGAAUGUUAAGUCAGUUGUGAAAGUUUGGGGCUCAACCGUAAAAUUGCGGUUGAAACUGGCAGUCUUGAGUACAGUAGAGGUAGGCGGAAUGCGUGGUGUAGCGGUGAAAUGCUUAGAUAUCACGAAGAACUCCGAUUGCGAAGGCAGUUCACUGGACUGAAACUGACGCUGAGGCACGAAAGUGUGGGUAUCAAACAGGAUUAGAUACCCGGGUAGUC